GACGUAGGGCGCGAGCGUUGUCCGGAUUUAUUGGGCGUAAAGAGCUCGUAGGCGGCUUGUUGCGUCAGCUGUGAAAACCCGCAGCUCAACUGUGGGCUUGCAGCUGAUACGGGCGGGCUGGGAUUCGGUAGGGGAGACUGGAAUUCCUGGUGUAGCGGUGAAAUGCGCAGAUAUCAGGAGGAACACCGGUGGCGAAGGCGGGUCUCUGGGCCGAUAUCGACGCUGAGGAGCGAAAGCGUGGGGGAGCGAACAGG
rnacentral:rRNA from 1 species